rnacentral:rRNA from 1 species
AUUUGCUUAGGUGCUUUUGGCGCCUUGUUUAUGCCGUAAGGUAUUGGUCUGAAUCAAACAUAAAUUUAAAACUUUCAACAAAGGAUCUCUUGGCUCUCGCAUCGAUGAAGAACGCAGCGAAGCGCGAAAUGUAGUGUGAAUCGCAGAAAAUUGUGAAUCAUCGAAUCUUUGAACGCACAUUGCGCCUCCUUUCCGGGAGGCAUGCCUGUCUGAGCGUCGUUUAAACCGUAGCACCCACAGAGGGUCUGUCUUGGGCAUCGCCUUUGGGCGUAGCCUCGAAGCGAUCGGUCUGAAGAGCGGAUGAAAUCCAUUAGGACGGACCGUUCUGCGACCUUAAACUUUGGAUUUGACCUCAGAUCAGGUAGGACUACCGCCUGAACUUAAGCAUAUCAAUAAGGCGAGGAACAGAAACCAACAGGGAUUCCCUUAGUAGUGGCGAAUGAAUCGGGAAAAGCUCAAGUUUGAAAUCCGAAGUUUACCUCGGAGUUGUAAGCUGAAGAGGCGUCGAUCGAUCCGGUCCGGGCUCAAUUUUCCUUGGAACAGGAGGUCAUGGAGGGUGAGAACCCCGUCUGUGGCUCGGGUGCCGUGGUCCUUGUGUCGUGCCCUCGAAGAGUCGGGUUGUUUGGGAAUGCAGCUCAAAAUGGGUGGUAAAUUUCAUCUAAAGCUAAAUAUUGGCGAGAGACCGAUAGCAAACAAGUAGAGUGAUCGAAAGAUGAAAAGA